AUGCAGGCUGAGAAACUGAGCUACAGAAGGAUUCAAAGGCAUAGUUUCUCAUGGAUCAUUCUUCACUGCUUAACUCCUGCAGUACCAGUUAAGCAGUGGAGGGAAACAGAAGAAAGAAAUGAGGAAAUUCCUGUAAAUCAAAGAGAGCACAGCAAUUUCCCCAAUGACAGGUUUCUACUGGAGAGCUGAUAGUUAAAAUGGUGAAGCAUCCCAGCAGUCUCCUCUGUAGGCAGGGAUGGGCUAGCACCUCAAGAGCAGCGGUGCUUACAACCUCAGUGUAUCACCACUUACAAAGGCUUAAGUACCAAUGCCACAGGUGCAUCUGGUCAAGGACUGGAAAAAUGGUCUUAUGUUUUAUUGAAAAUGACUAAUUCAGUGUAAAAAUGGGAGGGGGCAGAACUUGAAAUAAAGAUAAACCUAUAAAGCA
rnacentral:lncRNA from 1 species